ACUCAAAUGAAUUGACGGGGACUUGCACAAGCGGUGGAUCAUGCGGCUCAAUUCGAUGACAAACGAAGAACCUCACCAGGGUUUGAAACCCAGACGAUUGCCCUAGGAAACUAGGGCGUCCGCAAGGCGGCUGGGCAGGUGAUGCAUGGUCGUCGUCAGUUCGUGGCUUGAGUUGUUCCCUUCAGUGGGGUAACGAACGCAACCCGCGUUGCCUGUUUUAUAUGUCAGGCGAGACUGCUCCCUCACGGGAGAGGAAGGUGCGGAUGACGCCAGAUCAGCAUGUCCCUCUGAUAUCCUGGGCUGCACGCAUGAUACAAUGGGCGCGACAACGAGACGCAAUGCCGCAAGGCGGAGCAAAUCUUAAAACGCGUCCCCAGUUCGGAUUGAGGUCUGCAACUCGACCUCAUGAAGCCGGAAUCGCUAGUAAUCGCGGGUCAGCUAUACCGCGGUGAAUACGUUCUCAAGUCUUGUACACACCGCCCGU
rnacentral:rRNA from 1 species